AGUUUGAUCCUGGCUCAGAACGAACGCUGGCGGCAGGCCUAACACAUGCAAGUCGAGCGCCCCGCAAGGGGAGCGGCGGACGGGUGAGUAACGCGUGGGAACGUACCCUUUGCUACGGAAUAGCCUCGGGAAACUGGGAGUAAUACCGUAUGUGCCCUUCGGGGGAAAGAUUUAUCGGCAAAGGAUCGGCCCGCGUUGGAUUAGGUAGUUGGUAGGGUAAUGGCCUACCAAGCCGACGAUCCUUAGCUGGUCUGAGAGGAUGAUCAGCCACACUGGGACUGAGACACGGCCCAGACUCCUACGGGAGGCAGCAGUGGGGAAUAUUGGACAAUGGGCGAAAGCCUGAUCCAGCAAUGCCGCGUGAGUGAUGAAGGCCUUAGGGUUGUAAAGCUCUUUUACCAGGGAUGAUAAUGACAGUACCUGGAGAAUAAGCUCCGGCUAACUCCGUG
rnacentral:rRNA from 1 species